rnacentral:rRNA from 1 species
CCUACGGGUGGCAGCAGUAGGGAAUAUUGCUCAAUGGGGGUAACCCUGAAGCAGCAACGCCGCGUGGAGGAUGAAGGUUUUCGGAUUGUAAACUCCUUUUGUUAGAGAAGAUAAUGACGGUAUCUAACGAAUAAGCACCGGCUAACUCCGUGCCAGCAGCCGCGGUAAUACGGAGGGUGCAAGCGUUACUCGGAAUGACGGGGCGGAAAGGGGGCGUAGGUGGGAUAGCAAGUCAGAUGGGAAAUGCUAGGGCUUAACCAUAGCAGUGCGGUGGAAACGGUUAUUCUAGAGUUGGGGAGAGGUAGGAGGAAUGCGUGGGGUAGGGGUAAAA